AAAGAUGUUGGUGAUUCCGUGGCGGAAGAUCAAAAUGGAAACAAGGAGGAACAUGCAGGUGAUGCACAGGGGGAACCAGCUCUAAAUACUUUAAUGUCUCUAGAUGAAGUAACUGUUGUCUAUGAUGUGAGAUUGUCAGAAAAAAUUGGCCAUGAUGUGAGAACUUCAGAAAAUCAGGGACCUGCUGUUACAUAUGUCAAAUCUCAGGAGCCUAUUAUUGAGGAUAUGAAAUCUUCAAACAGUCAGGAACUUAUUACUACAGAACUGAAAUCUCAGGAGGGCGAAGGAU
rnacentral:lncRNA from 1 species